GACAAAUAGUAGUUCUGUAUUAUCAAGGGUUGCAGCCUCAAGUAAAACACGCAUUAGAUGGACUCAGGAUCUUCACAAUCAAUUUGUUGAAUGUGUAAAUCGUCUUGGUGGUGCAGACAAUGCAACUCCAAAGGAAAUCCUAAAUUAAGAUCAUGGAUGCUAGUGGAUUAACCAUUUUGCAAGUUAAAAGUCACUUGCAGGUUUUAUUGUUCAUUUCCCAGCUAUGGAUAUUUCUUGUAUAUUAGUUAUCGUUUCCAAUAUUUUUGAAUCAAAGUUCUUUCUUCCUUUUUCCAGAAAUAUCAUACUACCAGAUAUAUUUCAGAAUCUACAGAAGGGAAAUCAGACAGAACUCACAUGAAUCAAUUAACGCCAUUGGAUCUCAAGACUGGCAAGGAGAUAGCAGAAGCACUGAGACUGCAACUACAUGUACAGAGAUGCUUACAUGAACAACUGGAGGUUCAAAGAGAAAUGCAAUCAAGGAUUGAAGAACAAGGGAGGAAGCUAAAAAUAAUGUUAGACCAACAACAAAUAACAACCAAGACUCUUAUAUAAUUCUAAUAUUGAAUGUCAAAUGUGUGUUUUCAAUGGCCAUUCAGUACUCUCUCAAAGUGUUGAUUUUGGUUAAGGAUAUUGUAAGGAGAGGAGGCUGGUAACCAACAGGCAAUAUAGGGAAUAGCCAGCAAAAAGAUCAUGUAUCUAAUUCCAUAACUUGGAGUUGACACACCAUAUAAUCAAAUAUUCAGUCAUUUGUUUCAAACUUAUUCCUGUGUCUAAUACAGAAAGAUCUUGUACUUUCUAUCCCUAAUAUAUUAUAUGUCAAAUUUCUUUUUC